AAUGAACGCUGGCGGCGGGCUUAACACAUGCAAGUCGAACGCCCCGCAAGGGGAGUGGCAGACGGGUGAGUAACGCGUGGGAAUCUACCCAGAUCUUCGGAACAACACAGGGAAACUUGUGCUAAUACCGGAUACGCCCUACGGGGGAAAGAUUUAUCGGAUUUGGAUGAGCCCGCGUUGGAUUAGCUAGUUGGUGAGGUAAUGGCUCACCAAGGCGACGAUCCAUAGCUGGUCUGAGAGGAUGAUCAGCCACACUGGGACUGAGACACGGCCCAGACUCCUACGGGAGGCAGCAGUGGGGAAUAUUGGACAAUGGGCGAAAGCCUGAUCCAGCCAUGCCGCGUGAGUGAUGAAGGCCUUAGGGUUGUAAAGCUCUUUUAGUGGGGAAGAUAAUGACGGUACCCACAGAAAAAGCCCCGGCUAACUUCGUGCCAGCCGCCGCCGUAA
rnacentral:rRNA from 1 species